rnacentral:rRNA from 1 species
AGAACGCAGCGAAAUGCGAUACGUAAUGUGAAUUGCAAAUUCAGUGAAUCAUCGAGUCUUUGAACGCACAUUGCGCCCCCUGGUAUUCCGGGGGGCAUGCCUGUCCGAGCGUCAUUGCUGCCCUCAAGCCCGGCUUGUGUGUUGGGCCCCGUCCUCCGAUUCCGGGGGACGGGCCCGAAAGGCAGCGGCGGCACCGCGUCCGGUCCUCGAGCGUAUGGGGCUUUGUCACCCGCUCUGUAGGCCCGGCCGGCGCUUGCCGAUCAACCCAAAUUUUUAUCCAGGUUGACCUCGGAUCAGGUAGGGAUACCCGCUGAACUUAAGCAUAUCAAUAAGCGGAGGAA